rnacentral:lncRNA from 1 species
GACCAUGGCAGCAUGUUUGGGUUCCUACAGACAUUGGGGCCCAGAGCAAGGUCCCCAAGGAAAGACAGAGAUGCUGAGACAGUAGUGGUAGCCCAGAAUGACAGCUACACCCAACGCACUUCCCUCUUUAACCAGGAAGUACUACAGGAGGGUAGAGGGUUAAUCAGAGCCCAGCACCCCGGCAACUCUAAGAUCCAGGACUUCUUGAUUCGGCUGGAGGAGUUAUGGGAGGAGCUAAGGAGACGACAUCACAGGAACCAGGUCUACCUGCAGGCAGGGGAGGAGAUGAGCUUUAGGGUAAGACCCUUCUUCUAGAGUCUAGACCGAUGUUGACCCUGCAGUUAACCUCUCCUAUCAGACAGUACAUCUCUGACCCUUCUUCUAGAGUCUAGACCGACGUUGACCCUGCAGUUAACCUCUCCUAUCAGACAGUACAUCUCUGACCCUUCUUCUAGAGUCUAGACCGAUGUUGACCCUGCAGUUCUACCCCCCCCCCCCCCCCCCCAUCCUCUCUCCUCCCAGACAGUACAUCUCCUCCAGGCCUUGGGUAGUAUAGAAGCCUGGUUGGAGGCAGCAGAGCUGUCCAUGUCGAACUCCCAGUUGGCAGUAGACCCAGAGACCAUGAGGCUGGCUGAGAGAGACAGCUGCCUGCUCCAGACAGAGAUGUCCUGCCGGGGAAUGGAGCUAACAGCACUCAGACAGGAGAUGGACAGGCUGGGUGGUCAGCGGGAGGGUCAGUGCCCAGGAUACCCCAACACUGAGGGCCUUCAGGUGCCACAACACCACACACAGGUCCUCCCAGAUCUUAUGGACCAGGUGGAGAGAAAGUACCAACGUGUCCAGACCGCGUUGACCCAGCAGAGUUCGUCGCUGCAGGACACCAGGAUGCUGACAGAGUUUCUGGAGCGGGUGGAGCUAGAGGAGAGGGUGGAGCUAGAGGAGACCCAGAAGGCCAGGGGGAGGGGCUACAGCAGUAACCUUGGACAGCCUCUCCACGGUGAGAUCAGCUCAGCUCUUACCCUGCUGGGUGAUGGGUGUGGAAGCGGUGGUGGGGAGCCAAUGAUGGAGCCGCUGGGAAACCCUGUAGAGGAGCUGCAGGAGGCAGUGGAGAUGUUGAAUGACACGGUCAGAGAGAGAGGACGAUCACAGAAUCACAUCCAUGAUCAAGCCAUCCAGACUAUGAUCCGACAGCUGGCUGUGCUGUCAGUGCGUGUGGAGGACAGUCUGUGCUGCAGUAGAAAGCUGAACCAGGAACUCCUACAGAGAGAGAAAGACAUGGCCAUGCGCUGUGAACCAGAACAAUGUGGACUAGAGGGACUGAAGGAACAGCAAGAAAACCUAGAGGUGAAUUAUGCUGUGCUGAAGGAAGAGGUGGAGGAGCUCCAGAGACAGACUGGUUAUCUGGAGGAGCUAUGCCCAGAGAGAGUGACCUUCCUGGCGGUGGAGGUGCAGGGAGCCCUGGGGGUAUGGAGGGAAUUGAGGAGGAACGUAGAGGGGAACAGAGACAGAUUACGACAGUUUGUUCACCUGCAGGACUUCUUCAGGACCUACCUGGCCAUGAUAUCGUGGAUGGAGGACACCCGGGAGUGUAUUUUCUCUGAGAGAGUGUUGCAUUGUGGGAGGGACGACCAGGAGCCAAUGGCUGCGGUGAUGGAGAUGGACGUCCAGAUAGACAGAAAGUUGGAGGAGUUGGAGGAGAUGGAUGCUGCAGGGAGGAACCUGCUGAACGCUGAGCACCACCUGGCCAACAUGAUCCAUGAGCGUCUGGAGGAGUUGAGGUCCAUGCUGGGAUGGAUGCUGGUCCACUGGAGAAACCAGAAACACCAGAGGAGUCAACGCAGGAAUAACGAGACUGAACCUAAUGAAGAUCUUAUCGACUCUGAGCCCCCAACAGAGCAGACUUCUGGAGAUAAUAUCUACUCAAAGACCACAGUAGAGUCCACUAGAGACAACAUCUACUCAGAGACCACAGUAGAGUCCACUAGAGACAACAUCUACUCAGAGACCACAGUAGAGUCCACUAGAGACAACAUCUACUCAGAGACCACAGUAGAGUCCACUAGAGACAACAUCUACUCAGAGACCACAGUAGAGUCCACUAGAGACAACAUCUACUCAGAGACCACAGGAGCAGAUAUCUACACAGAUGAUACAGCCUGCUCCACCCACAGUACCCCUGCUCAGCCAGAGACCCACAGUACCCCUGCUCAGCCAGAGACCCACUUUACCCCUGAACUGAGUGUCUUUGAGGACAGACUGAGGAAAAUAGACACUCUGUACUGUCCCGCAACAGACCAGCAAAGUUGGAAGGACCAAGAGGAUGGCUAUCAGGUGAUGAACAGCAACACAGGGCCUCUAAGGGGCCUCACCUCUCCCCCAGAGACCCACCAAUCCCCCUGCCUGGUCUUAAAAGAGCCCAGCAGCCCAGCCCUCUGCCUGGGGGGCACCAUGAGCCUAGGGGGCACCUCAGUCAACAGCAGCCCUAAGGUUAGAAUGGGGGGGCAGGGGGUUAGCUUGGUGGGCCAGGGGGUUCGCCUGGGGAACCAGGGGGGAAUGGUCUACCUAGGGGGCACCGUCAAGAACAGCCCUACCCUCAGCCUUGGAGGCAGUGUGGACCUGGGGGGUACUGUCAAUCUCAUCCUCAGCUUGGGGAACCAAGGAGACAGUCAUGUGGAGGUGAUGGAGGCUAAUCCUAGGGUGGGUGAGGAGGAGAGCACAGAGCCUGUCCACAGGGACAACAACAUGACAUCAGCUCCUGCAUACGAGAGUAUUUUACUGCCCCGCCUCCACACCAAGACCUCCUCCUCUUCAUCCCCCUCCUCCUCCUCCGGGGCUCCUCAAUCUUGCGUCUCUUUCUCCUCCUCCCUGCCCAAGAACACCUCCAUCUUCUCUAGUCUGAAGAUAAGGAGCAAGAAGAGGAGAAGGAAGAGAGACGCUGGCCGCCACACCAUUCAGAAAAUCAUGGUUGUAGAGGGGGAGGAGCAGACAGAGGUGGCAUGUCCUGCUGAAGCUGCACCCCAGCAAAUCACGCUGUACGACACCCAGACCUGGCCAAUGAAGGAGGGCCGGAGGAAGAAGAAGAGCCUAUUAAAGGCCGAGGGGGUGGGGCCAGGGCAGGGGGUGGAACUCGUGGACUACAUGGAUAACCCAUUGGCCAGGGAUAUUGAAGAUGAAUGUUCUGGGGUCUCCACUGUCAGCCCCUAUGCAGUGACAGAGGCAGUCUCUAUAGCUCCACCCAGGGGCCAGGUGAGGAGCCACUGCAGGUUCCUGUCUCUGGGGUCUGUUUUGACCUUCGACCUCUCCAAAGACAUGAGGUUGAUCCCCAGUAUACAGGAUGUCAUCACUAUAGGACUCCCAGAACACAGGGGAACCCCCAACCCAAACCUCAAUCCCAACCCUCACACAGAGACACAUGCAGCCCUCAGCUCUUUCAAACAUACCCGCUCCCCUCCCUCAGACACGCACAGAGGACCAGACAAUGAGGCCGUCACUACUUACAGAUAUGAAACAAUGACACAGAUACAGACACAGCCACUACUGACACUGACACUGACACAGCCACUACUGACAAAGACACAACCACUACCGACACAGACACAACCACUACUGACACAGAUACAGACACAGACACAACCAUUACUGACACAGACACAGCCACUACUGAGACAGACACCGACACAAAUACUAAAACAGACAAAGCCACUGACACAGGCUGUUCAGCUAGAGCCUCUGUCUAAUCUAGAUACAGAUUUUCCUCCUCCUCCUCCUCCUGCCCUGGAUGAGGACUGGGAUCAGAACGUAUCAAGCAAUGACCUAUCCCUAUCACAGAUCCAGACCGUACUCCAGGAGCCUGAGCAAGAGUGGUCGGAGCUCAUCUUCAGCAAGCAACCACCAAUCACAGCUUAUUGCCCAAAGAGUCCCACUCCAAUGAACCGAGACCAUUACAAUUACAUGGAAACGACCAUGGUUAGUAGAAGUCCUAUUGUAAAGAGCAAGGACCCCUGUCCCUCCUCAGCCUAUCAGAACCAUGAGAGCAAGGACCCCUGUCCCUCCUCAGCCUAUCAGAACCAUGAGCGCAAGGACCCCUGUCCCUCCUCAGCCUAUCAGAACCAUGAGCGCAAGGACCCCUGUCCCUCCUCAGCCUAUCAGAACCAUGAGCGCAAGGACCCCUGUCCAUCCUCAGCCUAUAAGAACCAUGAGAGCAAGGACCCCUGUCCCUCCUCAGCCUAUCAGAACCACGAGUGCCUCAUUCAGGACCUCAAUGGACACCAGUACCAUCAUAGGUUGAAGACCCAUAGAGAGAGUGUUGACCUCCAGGAGACCAGCCAGGCUUCUCAGAUGGUUGUGAAUCUGAAGGUCAGUGGGUUAGGGAGUAUGAUGCAAGACUCUAUGGACUCUGGCAUCUCUGGUGUCUCCAACUCUGGGAGCUUGAAGCUCAAUGCACCUGAUGUUCUCCAAGAGCCCCAGCCCAUGAGGACUGUGGUGGGGAGGCUAGUGUCUCUGGAGGAGGGGCGCAUGGAGGCUGUGUCCACACCCAGGGAAAAUCCCACAGAAACCCCAGCUCCUGCCCACCCAGAGACAAAAACAACACCCAGAAACAGACACCACCAGACAGAGACAGAACUCGACUCUGAUCCGCUCGACCCCGACCUCACCAUCCAUCCAGACCACCAGCAGUUUGAGGAGGUAGAGGAGGAGCUGGAGGACAUCUGGAACCAUAGCAAUGGCUACAGACAGAGUAUCUCCUCUGACAUCAUGUACCAGCCACACCAAGAGGAGAAGGAGGGGGGAAGUAGCAACACCCCAGGACUGACCACAGACCCCCUCUCACCCCCCCAGGCCCAGCCCCAGGCUACCCCCUACAGGAAGCUGAUAACAACUUCUGCCCCUAACCUUCUGGUGGCUGAAUUCACACUCCCCUCCUCCCUCCAAACCCUACUGGGGUACAACCAGGACCAGAACCAGGACCAGGGCUUUAGCCAAGACCCUAACUCCAGAGAAGAGCUCCCUAUGCUGGCUAACAGAGACAUGAGGUCCUGGGCAGCUUUCCCUAUUCAGGACCAACCCUGGAGGACCACACCACUGGUCAAUGAAACGGCAGCAGAACCAGUCAAGCUGCCGGAAAUGGAGGACCAGAAGAGAUAUAUCUACCAUUAUAGAGAGGAGGAGGAAGAGGAUGAGGAGGAGAAGAUGGAGGACACAGGUUGUCCAAAGGACCCAUCAAUGAGUCUGCUGUCUGUCCACAUGGGUCUGCACGGAAACAAUCAGCGAGCUACAAGUUGUGGCACUCUGGAAGGUGUCAUGGAAAAGCAUGGAGAGAGUCUGGCCACAGGGGGGCGAUGUGGCACUAUGAAUGGGAGUGGGUCUGAGCUGCAGACGAUGGAGGGAACUCUGGAGAGGAAACACAAGCUGCAGCUGGGAGGGAAGAAGAACUGUGUGUGUGGCCUGUCUCUAACCCUGACGGGAGCAGAAUGUGUCUCAGCCCCAGAGAACACUAAGAAACCACAGUGUUUCAGUCUGCGCUUAAGAGAUGGCUCAGAGUACCUCCUCAACACAGCAAACCGAUUCAUGAUGAAGAAAUGGAUGCUGAAAAUACAAGCCAACAGUGUGCCCAGUGAGCAUGUCUCCUCCAUGACGUCACCCAGCGACCUCUUGGUUCAGGACCACCCCGCCCCCUUCACCACCUCUUUCCUCUCACAAAGUACCAGCAGGGGGACGACCAGAGCCAAGGAGAUAGUUGUCCUGACCAGAGAGACCAGAGAGACUCACCGUCAGAUCCCUCAGUUGCACCCAGAGAAACAGCAGGACCCAACAUCCUCAUCACAUACAGGCCGUCGUGAAGAUAACUAUGACUCCCUGAGACAGAAACUGUGUGGUAGAUCCAGGGAGAACAGCCCUUCCUCCUUGCACUCCUCCAUCUCUCCUUUCUCCCUCCACAACUCGUCCUCCAUCCCUCCAUUCUCCCUCCACUCCCCUGUCUCUCCUCCUUUCUCCUCUGUCUAUAGAGGUGGUCAGGACUGGCUCAGUCAAGUGAACAAGUGUCACUCAUUUACCUCAGCAAGGUACCAGAAUAUUAAACCAGCGUUGCUGCCCCCAGGAGGCAGAGGCCGGGACUACGGAUCAGUGGGUCUGGACUGUGGGUCAAACUACUCCGUGACUAUGAUUAUAGGAGACAAGCAGUCUGCCGCCUCUCCCACUCUCAGUUGUGAUGGUAGUGGUCCAUCUAUCACCAGUCACACUGACCCACAGCGCCCCCUGCUGGAUGGAUGGCAGCACCACUCAUAUCACCAGGACUCUACUACAAGAAGGCAGCUUCACCGGCACCAAGCAAUGUACCACCACGACCAGGAACCAUCUCUGAGGUCCUGCACCGGUCUGCCUCCGCCACGCAAGAAGUCUGUCUUCAACAAGUUCUUUGGGAAGAAAGACUGA